rnacentral:lncRNA from 1 species
CUCAGCGAUCACUCAAUGUGUGCCAGGCAUUCGCACACAAUAUCACUAACACCCAUGACAGUCCUUCAAGAGAGGUUCUGCUGUCUGAGAGAUUAUGUGACACGCCUAAGGUCACAGGAUCAGCAAAUACUAGGGCUGAGAUUUAAACCCAGAACUGUCUACUGCCAAAGCUUUUGCGCUCUCCCUCGUGCCACGUUGCUUCUCAUUUUGGGCUUGGUCUCCACUUCCCAGUCCUUGAAGGAGUUCUCCAGGUCUGCCCCAUUAGCACUGCAUCUCAGAAGGAAGCUGCAGCUGCGCCGCCAAUCUCCCGGUGGUAGGUGCUUAAUAAACAUUAUGAAGUGCAUGAACAAAUGAAUAGCCCCUGAUGGACAGACAUGCUUGAGAAACACUAUUUUUCACAUUCCUAUCUACACUCAAGAUUUUACCUAUGAUAGCAGGCUGAAGAUUCCCAGGAUCUUACAUCCUAGC